GCCCUGGAGGGUGUGCAGCAGAGGAAGUCUACAUGAACUCUGCAUACAUUUCCAAUGAACUUGAAACUUCCUCUUGGGACUAAGUAUACCCUUUCUCCAUGAACACAAAAGGCUGAUGGUGUGAUGCAACUAUGAACCCAAGUUCACUGCUUGUGAAUGGAAAAAGCCAGCAACUCAAGGAUAAGUUAUCAGGGCAAGAAGAGAGAUUUACUUGGAAAGUUAUCAAACCGAGUAAGAUAGAGAGGUGGAGGUUGUUGCCAACAUGGCUUUCUAGGACAAGAUGGCCUGUAGGUUAUGUAGGGAUUUCUGGGGAGUCACUAGGGUAGUUAGAAACUAUGGAUGCCACACUUCUGCGGGGCGUGGGUUGCUGUUAUCUGUAGUCACUGAAAUCUAGAUUCUGUAAAUCUGAAGUUACUGAUUAGAAAGACUUAUGACUCAUGCCCUUUCGGUCCCAUUUCCCAGAAAUAGUUAAUUCUCCACUGAACUACUAACUGUAUAAAAGUUACUGCGCCUCUCUGAAUACAGAAAGAACAGCUUUUACCCUGUUGGGUGGCCUCAGUCAGAAGGGUCGUCUUCAGGUAAGUUAGUGGCAGG
rnacentral:lncRNA from 1 species